rnacentral:misc_RNA from 1 species
GGAAGUAAAAGUCGUAAACAAGGUUUCCGUAGGUGAACCUGCGGAAGGAUCAUUAUCGUACAAAAUGUGAGGGGCAUGCGAGGGCUGUCGCUGACCCAAAAGUCGUGCACGCCCGAGUGUGUCCUCUUGCAUAAUAAUCCAUCUCACCCUUUGUGCAUCACCGCGUGGGCACCCUUCGGGAUCAUCUCGGAGGGGGGCUCGCGUUUUCGCACAAACCCCCCUUUUAAAAGUGUAGAAUGACCACAUUUAUGCAAUCAAUACAACUUUCAACAACGGAUCUCUUGGCUCUC